GUUCAUUUAGCUUAAUGGUAGAGCAACUAUUUUCUAAAUAGUGUGAUACGGGUUCAAUUCCUGUAAUGAAUU
rnacentral:tRNA from 1 species